rnacentral:rRNA from 1 species
GAUGAACGCUGGCGGCGUGCCUAAUACAUGCAAGUCGAGCGAACGGACGAGAAGCUUGCUUCUCUGAUGUUAGCGGCGGACGGGUGAGUAACACGUGGAUAACCUACCUAUAAGACUGGGAUAACUUCGGGAAACCGGAGCUAAUACCGGAUAAUAUUUUGAACCGCAUGGUUCAAAAGUGAAAGACGGUCUUGCUGUCACUUAUAGAUGGAUCCGCGCUGCAUUAGCUAGUUGGUAAGGUAACGGCUUACCAAGGCAACGAUGCAUAGCCGACCUGAGAGGGUGAUCGGCCACACUGGAACUGAGACACGGUCCAGACUCCUACGGGAGGCAGCAGUAGGGAAUCUUCCGCAAUGGGCGAAAGCCUGACGGAGCAACGCCGCGUGAGUGAUGAAGGUCUUCGGAUCGUAAAACUCUGUUAUUAGGGAAGAACAUAUGUGUAAGUAACUGUGCACAUCUUGACGGUACCUAAUCAGAAAGCCACGGCUAACUAUGUGCCAGCAGCCGCGGUAAUACGUAGGUGGCAAGCGUUAUCCGGAAUUAUUGGGCGUAAAGCGCGCGUAGGCGGUUUUUUAAGUCUGAUGUGAAAGCCCACGGCUCAACCGUGGAGGGUCAUUGGAAACUGGAAAACUUGAGUGCAGAAGAGGAAAGUGGAAUUCCAUGUGUAGCGGUGAAAUGCGCAGAGAUAUGGAGGAACACCAGUGGCGAAGGCGACUUUCUGGUCUGUAACUGACGCUGAUGUGCGAAAGCGUGGGGAUCAAACAGGAUUAGAUACCCUGGUAGCCCACGCCGUAAACGAUGAGUGCUAAGUGUUAGGGGGUUUCCGCCCCUUAGUGCUGCAGCUAACGCAUUAAGCACUCCGCCUGGGGAGUACGACCGCAAGGUUGAAACUCAAAGGAAUUGACGGGGACCCGCACAAGCGGUGGAGCAUGUGGUUUAAUUCGAAGCAACGCGAAGAACCUUACCAAAUCUUGACAUCCUUUGACAACUCUAGAGAUAGAGCCUUCCCCUUCGGGGGACAAAGUGACAGGUGGUGCAUGGUUGUCGUCAGCUCGUGUCGUGAGAUGUUGGGUUAAGUCCCGCAACGAGCGCAACCCUUAAGCUUAGUUGCCAUCAUUAAGUUGGGCACUCUAAGUUGACUGCCGGUGACAAACCGGAGGAAGGUGGGGAUGACGUCAAAUCAUCAUGCCCCUUAUGAUUUGGGCUACACACGUGCUACAAUGGACAAUACAAAGGGCAGCGAAACCGCGAGGUCAAGCAAAUCCCAUAAAGUUGUUCUCAGUUCGGAUUGUAGUCUGCAACUCGACUACAUGAAGCUGGAAUCGCUAGUAAUCGUAGAUCAGCAUGCUACGGUGAAUACGUUCCCGGGUCU